rnacentral:rRNA from 1 species
GACGGAGGAGGCAAGCGUUAUCCGGAAUUAUUGGGCGUAAAGCGUCCGCAGGUGGAUAUACAAGUCUGCUGUCAAAGUGCAGAGCUUAACUCUGUAAAGGCGGUGGAAACUGUAGGUCUUGAGUAUGGUAGGGGUAGAGGGAAUUCCCGGUGUAGCGGUGAAAUGCGUAGAUAUCGGGAAGAACACCAGUGGCGAAAGCGCUCUACUGGGCCAUAACUGACACUGAGGGACGAAAGCUAGGGGAGCGAAAGGG